AAUGAACGUUGGCGGCAGGCUUAACACAUGCAAGUCGAACGAAAAGGUAUCUUCGGAUACUGGAUUCGUGGCGGACGGGUGAGUAUAACAUGGAAAUCUACCAAGCAGUGGGGGAUAACAGUUGGAAACGACUGAUAAUACCGCAUACGCCAUAUUGGGAAACUAAGGUGCUGUUUGAUGAGUCCAUGCCGGAUUAGCUAGUUGGUAGGGUAAAGGCCUACCAAGGCGACGAUCUGUAGCUGGUUUGAGAGGAUGAUCAGCCACACUGGGACUGAGACACGGCCCAGACUCCUACGGGGAGGCAGCAGUGGGGGGAAUAUUGGACAAUGGGGGCAACCCUGAUCCAGCAAUGCCACGUGUGUGAAGAAGGCCUGAGGGUUGUAAAGCACUUUAGUCAGGGAGGAAGGUUCAUAUGUUAAUAGCAUAUGGAAUUGACGUUACCUGAAGAAUAAGCACCGGCUAACUCUGUGCCAGCCGCCGCGGUAAUU
rnacentral:rRNA from 1 species